CGGUGAAAUAUUGCCUUCGGCAAUGUGAAAUACGCCUUCGGCGUGUGAAAUAUUGAACGCAGGCGUUCAAUGUGAAAUAUUCG
rnacentral:sRNA from 1 species